CACUGGAGAGGUCACAUGGAGAGACCAAUGAGGAAAACAGAGAGGAACCAAGAAGCCCCAGUUGUUUUUGUCUGCAAGUGUUUGAGUCUUCUCAGACCCCAGGCAGUAUCAGUGGCCAGGCCUGUAAGUGCACAGCCUCCAGCCCAGCUUGCAAGCCAUCCUGAUGGAGCAGACACAAGCCGGUACCACUGAGCCCUGCCCAAACAUCAGCUUUGUGAGAAAUGAAACUAUGGGGACUUUUGGAAUAGAAGGAAGCUUUGGAAAUUUUAGGAAAGAGAAACUGCUCUAGAUGGCUCACCAAAAGUUUAAAUGCAGAAAGAGGGUACUUACAAAAUCUCGGAAAAGGCUGACCGAAGUGGAGACAGAGGGCCUACUGAACCUGCACUUUAGUGUAGCCUGUGCUACUGCUGACGCCUGCACAGCCUAGAGCCUGUGCUCUGCAACCAGAGAAGGCACCGCAGUGAGAAGCCUGUGCACGGCAACUAGAGAGUAACCCCCUGCUCGCUGCAACUCGAGAAAAAAGCCUGCUCGCCGCAAACAAGACCCAGC
ensembl:lncRNA